UGCUUGAAAGAAAACUUCAAAUUUAUUGUUAGAUGUUUGAAUUGGUAAAUGCAUCCGAAGAGGAAGCAACGGUUUGCACACAAUACUGGAUUAGUUGGUAAUUUCUCAUUUGAGGCCUACUUUAAUAUAAGAUAAGGGUAUGGAUGUUCCACCUAUUUCCACCAUAUCAACGUCAUUAUACAUUUGAAUAUAAUAACCGGACCAGAUGGUAAAGUCCACAGAGUAUAAUUUUUUUUUUCUCAUAUAUCAUUUCACCACAUAUAAUAUGUAACAUAAUACCCGUUAUAAUACGACGUUUUUUACAUAGCCUUGGAUACAAACCCAUGGACACUUUGUUUUGGCCACUUGGUAAUGCAAGGCAUCUAUCAGCAAUGAACGACAUUGGAGUAUGUAUUCUGGGGAGAACAUUGACAUAACUGAGGCUAUUGAGUUUAAAAGAGUUUAGAAAAAAAACUAUGCAUGUCACUUUGAGCAUAACUAUUUGUACGAUAUUCAUAUAUGCACAUAUCUUGAUGUGAUUAUGCUUUUCUUCUCUUUAUUUGUGUAUUCGAUUUUUCCCUGCUAAUAAUUUGGUAUGCAACAAUAUAUUUAUCUUAUAGUUUAUAAAGCUCCAACAUGUAAAGGCAUGAAGGUUUUUUGGCACUUCAUUUAUAAUGUUAAUUAUGGAUUUCAUUGAUGAGGUAUGUGUGAAUAUAGGUCAUGGAAAAAAAGAUGCAAGGAUGUCCCUGGUAAGGAUUAUUAAAUAUUUAAGGCAUUUUGGAAAUUUUAUAUAGAAAUAAUAGUGUAAUCGAAAUUACCUGGUUGUGAGAAUGAUGAAUGGAGAGUGAACUGCGAAUAUUGCUCUAGCAGGUUUUGUUCUUUUUUCCAAUUCAACAUCUAAUUUAUUAUUAUUAAUCUUUUUGUUUUUGUUGUGGGAGAAUGUAACUAUGGCAUUUUGGUAAUGCAGGUCUGUUGUUGCUAUUAGUGAAGGUAAACCCAAAUAUAAAAGUCAUUUUGACGGCCCGUCUCUCAGUUUUUGUGGUUUGUUACCGCUCAGUUAAGCCAAUACCUCCUACUCCGUGGAAGUUGAGUUCACAAGGUCUCAAGUUGUUGCUGAUGUUCCUGGUCUUACAUCUAUAAGUAUCUUACAAAAGACGAGAUGAUUGAGAAAGAGACGUGUGAAACAGUUCCUAAAACAGGCCCGAAACCCAGAAAUCUUUUUUUCGUUAAAAUUUUCGGUUUUCUGUACAUCAUUUCAGAAAUCGACAGGCUUGAGUUACUCUAUGGGGUUCACUGGGGGAUGUAAUGAUUAAGGAGGAGAAGGAAAACCCUGCUAUCUACUAUUUUAUGACUUCCAUGAGUGCUUAGUUUUACCAAGUUCUCCAUUGCAAUGAGGAAAUACCCUCCUGAAGGCCUUUAAGUCUUCUCUAAGGUUGCUCUACUGUCCAUUUCCCAUGUGACAAUAUACCAUUCUAUGUAUAUUAGUCGCUCUAUCUCAUACGUAUUUGGAUGUAGCUAUAUACGUGUUUGUGAGUCCAGCCAGCCAAUCACAGUUGUGUAACCAAAGCUAACUUCACUAAUGUUCACGUCGAUAUCCUAAUUAUACUCCUAAACCUGAGGACAAGGCGGCAAUGAAGGCUACUUUGGGGAUUAUCUUUGACAAGGAUGUUGAUAGGGCCGAUCAGUCUAUUCAUAGAAUCCUGAUUGAUGCAAAGUUAAUCAUAUUUGGGCUAUGGACAGUUUGUUUACUUGAAAGUAUAUUCUGUAUAAGAAUGAGCCGCUUACGAUGUAAAAAAGCUUUUUAAAGGCUAGGAAAUUUGAUAUUGAGAAGACAAGGCAAAUGUGGGAUGAUAUGCUCUACUGGAGGAAAGAUUAUUUAAAGCCAAAAAAGGUACCAAAGAUGGGGGAUCACACUAUCUUGCGGUCCAAACAUUCACAUUUUCUUAAAUGGAAGCUGUAUCUAUAAUUUUAAGGGGUGAUUGUCUUCUCGGUGAUGGAGGUUUUGGCAGAAUAUAUAGAGGACGACUUGAUGGUUCAAAUAAGGUAUUACAUCUUUGGAGCUCAACCUUUGUAUUAUUUCACUCAAUAUAACAAUGUUUUUAACAUUAUACAAUGACUUUGAAUCAAAGUACACAACAAGCAGGAAAAAAUAAAUGUCGAAACUAUCUUUUGCUAAGA